rnacentral:misc_RNA from 1 species
GAUGAAGAACGCAGCGAAAUGCGAUAAGUAAUGUGAAUUGCAGAAUUCAGUGAAUCAUCGAAUCUUUGAACGCACAUUGCGCCCGCCAGUAUUCUGGCGGGCAUGCCUGUCCGAGCGUCAUUUCAACCCUCGAACCCCUCCGGGGGGUCGGCGUUGGGGAUCGGCCCUUUCACCGGGUGCCGGCCCCUAAAUACAGUGGCGGUCUCGCCGCAGCCUCUCAUGCGCAGUAGUUUGCACACUCGCACCGGGAGCGCGGCGCGUCCUCGUCCGUAAAACACCCCAAACUUCUGAAAUGUUGACCUCGGAUCAGGUAGGAAUACCCGCUGAACUUAAGCAUGUCAAUAAGCGGAGGA